rnacentral:rRNA from 1 species
GUGCCAGCCGCCGCGGUAAGACGUAGGUGGCGAGCGUUAUCCGGAUUUACUGGGCGUAAAGCGCGUGCAGGCGGUUCGGUAAGUCGGGCGUGAAAUCUCCUGGCUCAACUGGGAGGGGUCGUCCGAAACUACCGGACUUGAGGGCAGUAGAGGGAGGUGGAAUUCCGGGUGUAGUGGUGAAAUGCGUAGAUAUCCGGAGGAACACCGGUGGCGAAAGCGGCCUCCUGGGCUGCCCCUGACGCUCAGACGCGAAAGCUAGGGGAGCGAACGGGAUUAGAUACCCCCGUAGUCC